rnacentral:rRNA from 1 species
AGAGUUUGAUCAUGGCUCAGAUUGAACGCUGGCGGCAGGCCUAACACAUGCAAGUCGAGCGAGAAAGCACUUCGGUGUGAGUACAGCGGCGGACGGGUGAGUAACGCGUAGGAAUCUACCCAGUAGUGGGGGACAACAUGGUGAAAACCAUGCUAAUACCGCAUACGCCCUACGGGGGAAAGCGGGGGACCUUCGGGCCUCGCGCUACUGGAUGUGCCUGCGUCUGAUUAGCUAGUUGGUGGGGUAAAAGCCUACCAAGGCAGCGAUCAGUAGCUGGUCUGAGAGGAUGAGCAGCCACACUGGGGCUGAGACACGGCCCAGACUCCUACGGGAGGCAGCAGUGGGGAAUUUUCCGCAAUGGGCGAAAGCCUGACGGAGCAAUACCGCGUGAGGGAGGAAGGCCUUUGGGUUGUAAACCUCUUUUCUCAGGGAAGAAGAACUGACGGUACCUGAGGAAUAAGCAUCGGCUAACUCCGUGCCAGCAGCCGCGGUAAUACGGAGGAUGCAAGCGUUAUCCGGAAUCAUUGGGCGUAAAGCGUCCGCAGGUGGUUUUUCAAGUCUGCUGUUAAAGACUGGAGCUCAACUCCGGAAAGGCAGUGGAAACUGAGAAACUAGAGUUCGGUAGGGGUAGCGGGAAUUCCCAGUGUAGCGGUGAAAUGCGUAGAUAUUGGGAAGAACAUCGGUGGCGAAGGCGCGCUACUGGACCGAAACUGACACUCAGGGACGAAAGCUAGGGGAGCGAAAGGGAUUAGAUACCCCUGUAGUCCUAGCUGUAAACGAUGGAAACUAGGUGUGGCUUGUAUCGACCCGAGCCGUGCCGUAGCUAACGCGUUAAGUUUCCCGCCUGGGGAGUACGCACGCAAGUGUGAAACUCAAAGGAAUUGACGGGGGCCCGCACAAGCGGUGGAGUAUGUGGUUUAAUUCGAUGCAACGCGAAGAACCUUACCAGGGCUUGACAUGUCGCGAAUCUCCUUGAAAGGGGAGAGUGCCUUCGGGAGCGCGAACACAGGUGGUGCAUGGCUGUCGUCAGCUCGUGUCGUGAGAUGUUGGGUUAAGUCCCGCAACGAGCGCAACCCUCGUUUUUAGUUGCCAGCAUUAAGGUGGGCACUUUAGAGAGACUGCCGGUGACAAACCGGAGGAAGGUGGGGAUGACGUCAAGUCAGCAUGCCCCUUACGCCCUGGGCUACACACGUACUACAAUGGUUGGGACAAAGGGCAGCGACCCCGCGAGGGAAAGCGAAUCUCAUCAAACCCAGCCUCAGUUCAGAUUGCAGGCUGCAACUCGCCUGCAUGAAGGAGGAAUCGCUAGUAAUCGCAGGUCAGCAUACUGCGGUGAAUUCGUUCCCGGGCCUUGUACACACCGCCCGUCACACCAUGGAAGCUGGUCACGCCCGAAGUAGUUACCCUAAUC